UCCCUCGUGGCGAAACAGGCAGACGCGCUUGACUCAAAAUCAAGUGUCCACAAGGACGUGUGGGUUCAACUCCCACCGAGGGAA
rnacentral:tRNA from 1 species